rnacentral:rRNA from 1 species
GAUGAACGCUGGCGGCGUGCUUAACACAUGCAAGUCGAACGGAAAGGCCCAAGCUUGCUUGGGUACUCGAGUGGCGAACGGGUGAGUAACACGUGGGUGAUCUGCCCUGCACUUCGGGAUAAGCCUGGGAAACUGGGUCUAGUACCGGAUAGGACCACUUCUUGGAUGUUGUGGUGGAAAGUUUUUUCGGUGUGGGAUGAGCUCGCGGCCUAUCAGCUUGUUGGUGGGGUAAUGGCCUACCAAGGCGUCGACGGGUAGCCGGCCUGAGAGGGUGUACGGCCACAUUGGGACUGAGAUACGGCCCAGACUCCUACGGGAGGCAGCAGUGGGGAAUAUUGCACAAUGGGCGCAAGCCUGAUGCAGCGACGCCGCGUGGGGGAUGACGGCCUUCGGGUUGUAAACUCCUUUCGCUAGGGACGAAGCGUUUUUGUGACGGUACCUGGAGAAGAAGCACCGGCUAACUACGUG